rnacentral:rRNA from 1 species
AUUGAACGCUGGCGGCAGGCUUAACACAUGCAAGUCGAACGAGUGGCGGACGGGUGAGUAAUGCUUGGGAAUCUAGCUGUUGGAGGGGGAUAACUACGGGAAACUGUAGCUAAUACCGCGUACCAUAGGAUGAGCCCAAGUGGGAUUAGGUAGUUGGUGAGGUAAAGGCUAACCAAACCGACGAUCUCUAGCUGGUCUGAGAGGAUGACCAGCCACACUGUGACUGAGCCACGGCCCAGACUCCUUCGGGAGGCAGCGGUGGUGAAUAUUGCGCAAUGGGGGCAACCUACCGCAGCCAUGCCUCGUGAAUGAAGAGGGCCUUCGGGUUGUAAAGUUCUUUCGGUAGCGAGGCGUUAACUACAGAAGAAGCACCGGCUAACUCCGUGCCAGCAGCCGCGGUAAUUC